GAGCCCAGCACCCUGAGCAGGGACAUGCCUGCCUCUGUCCUGCCUGACUCUGCCUGGGGCACCAGGAUCCUCUGCUGUGCUGCCCUUUGUCUCCUGGGAGCAGGAUCAGUAGAUGUUGGAGUCAUCCAGACCCCAAGAUACCUAAUCACAGAAAAGAGGGGACAGGCCACUCUCAAAUGCUUCCCUGUCCCAGGACACAGCUAUGUGUACUGGUACCAGCAGGCUCCACACCACCAGAGUCUCCAGUUUCUCAGUUCAUAUUAUAAGGAGAGAGAGUAUGCAAAGGGCAUCAUCCCCGAUCGAUUCUCGGCUGAGCACUUCAGUGACAACCACUCUGAAAUGAACAUGAGCUCUUUGGAGCUGGGGGACUCUGCCUUGUACCUCUGUGCCAGCAGUGUAGACACAACCCUGCAGAGCCACUGGUUUUCUGUACCCAAACCUUCCUGUCCCAGCUGA